rnacentral:rRNA from 1 species
CAUCUUUUCUUGAAGUUGUAUUUGAAAUUUGACCUGCCCAAUGAUUUAUUUAAUGGCCGCGGUAUUUUGACCGUGCAAAGGUAGCAUAAUCAUUAGUUUAUUAAUUGUGAACUUGAAUGAAUGGUUGGACGAAAUAUUAACUGUCUCAUAUUUAUUAUUGGAAUUUAAGAUUUAAGUUAAAACGCUUAAAUUUUUUUAUAGGACGAGAAGACCCUAUAGAUCUUUAUUAUUUAAUUUGUAUUUAUUUUUAGGUUAAAUUAUUUUUUUAUAAGUUAAAUUUUUUAGUUGGGGUGACGUUAAGAUUUAAUAAACUCUUAUUUUAUUUAUUCAAUUAUUUUUGUUUUUUUGACCUUAUAUUAUUGUUAUAAGAUUAAGAUACCUUAGGGAUAACAGCGUAAUUCUUUUUGAGAGUUCUUAUCGACAAAGGAGAUUGCGACCUCGAUGUUGGAUUAAGAUUAGGUUUAGGUGUAGAUACUUAAAUAUUAAGUCUGUUCGACUUUUAAAUUCUUACAUGAUC